CAGCCGCCACGGGAAUACGAAGGGGGCUAGCGUUGUUCGGAAUUACUGGGCGUAAAGGGCGCGUAGGCGGCCAUUCAAGUUAGAUGUGAAAGCCCUGGGCUCAACCUAGGAAUUGCAUUUGAUACUGUUUGGCUUGAGUUCGGGAGGGGUGAGUGGAAUUCCCAGUGUAGAGGUGAAAUUCGUAGAUAUUCGGAAGAACACCAGUGGCGAAGGCGACUGACUGGACAAGUAUUGACGCUGAGGUGCGAAAGCGUGGGGAGCAAACAGGAUUAGAUACCCCCGUAGUCCCUGUCUCUUAUAC
rnacentral:rRNA from 1 species